UACGGAGGGUGCAAGCGUUGUCCGGAUUUAUUGGGCGUAAAGAGCUCGUAGGCGGCUUGUUGCGUCGACUGUGAAAACCCGCGGCUUAACUGCGGGCUUGCAGUUGAUACGGGCAGGCUAGAGUUCGGUAGGGGAGACUGGAAUUCCUGGUGUAGCGGUGAAAUGCGCAGAUAUCAGGAGGAACACCGGUGGCGAAGGCGGGUCUCUGGGCCGAUACUGACGCUGAGGAGCGAAAGCGUGGGGAGCGAACAGG
rnacentral:rRNA from 1 species